AGUCUGAUGUCGAUGUGUCAUAUGCCUUAUGGUGGAUGAAUAUGAGGGCAGGAUCAACUAAGGUUGUAUCAGGUCGUAGCAGAACUUCUCUGCAUAUGUGACAUUUUGAGAUCAGUUCAUGUGGGUUGUAUCCUGCGUUGAGUAUACAGUUGUUUCGGAGGGUUAUGGAUGUCAAAGAGCGUUGGAACUGCAUCCCAAACUAGCCUGUUCUUGGUCUGCUUGUUGGAAAACUGGCUAAGUUCGAAAUGCUCAGAACAAAG